UACGUAGGGUGCGAGCGUUAAUCGGAAUUACUGGGCGUAAAGCGUGCGCAGGCGGUUCGUUAAGUUCGUUGUGAAAGCCCCGGGCUCAACCUGGGAACUGCAAUGGAAACUGGCGGGCUUGAGUGUGGCAGAGGGGGGUGGAAUUCCGCGUGUAGCAGUGAAAUGCGUAGAGAUGCGGAGGACACCGAUGGCGGAAGGCAGCCCCCUGGGCCAACACUGACGCUCAGGCACGAAAGCGUGGGAGCAAACAG
rnacentral:rRNA from 1 species